rnacentral:rRNA from 1 species
AAACUAACAAGGAUUCCCCUAGUAACGGCGAGUGAAGCGGGAAGAGCUCAAAUUUGAAAUCUGGCGGCAUCCUGUCGUCCGAGUUGUAAUCUAUAGAAGUGUUUUCCGCGUCGGACCAUGUACAAGUCCCUUGGAACAGGGCGUCAUAGAGGGUGAGAAUCCCGUCCUUGACAUGAUCUCCGGUGCUAUGUGAUACACUUUCAACGAGUCGAGUUGUUUGGGAAUGCAGCUCAAAAUGGGUGGUGAAUUCCAUCUAAAGCUAAAUAUUGGCGCGAGAGACCGAUAGCAACAAGUACCGUGAGGGAAAGAUGAAAAGCACUUUGGAAAGAGAGUUAAACAGUACGUGAAAUUGUUGAAAGGGAAACGAUUGAAGUCAGUCAUGCUCUUUGGGUUAAGCCUUUCGGGGUGUAUUCCAUUGAGUGGGGUCAACAUCAGUUUUGACCGCUGGAAAAAGGCACGAGGAAGGUAGCACUCUCGGGUGAACUUAUAGCCUCGCGUCAUAUACAGUGGUUGGGACUGAGGAACGCAGCAUGCCUUAUGGCCGGGAUUCGUCCACGUACAUGCUUAGGAUGUUGACAUAAUG